rnacentral:rRNA from 1 species
GGGUAACCUGCCUGUAAGACUGGGAUAACUCCGGGAAACCGGGGCUAAUACCGGAUGGUUGUUUGAACCGCAUGGUUCAAACAUAAAAGGUGGCUUCGGCUACCACUUACAGAUGGACCCGCGGCGCAUUAGCUAGUUGGUGAGGUAACGGCUCACCAAGGCAACGAUGCGUAGCCGACCUGAGAGGGUGAUCGGCCACACUGGGACUGAGACACGGCCCAGACUCCUACGGGAGGCAGCAGUAGGGAAUCUUCCGCAAUGGACGAAAGUCUGACGGAGCAACGCCGCGUGAGUGAUGAAGGUUUUCGGAUCGUAAAGCUCUGUUGUUAGGGAAGAACAAGUACCGUUCGAAUAGGGCGGUACCUUGACGGUACCUAACCAGAAAGCCACGGCUAACUACGUGCCAGCAGCCGCGGUAAUACGUAGGUGGCAAGCGUUGUCCGGAAUUAUUGGGCGUAAAGGGCUCGCAGGCGGUUUCUUAAGUCUGAUGUGAAAGCCCCCGGCUCAACCGGGGAGGGUCAUUGGAAACUGGGGAACUUGAGUGCAGAAGAGGAGAGUGGAAUUCCACGUGUAGCGGUGAAAUGCGUAGAGAUGUGGAGGAACACCAGUGGCGAAGGCGACUCUCUGGUCUGUAACUGACGCUGAGGAGCGAAAGCGUGGGGAGCG